AGCGNGGGGAGCAAACAGGGUUGGAUACCCUGGUAGUCCACGCCGUAAACGAUGUUUACUUGGAGGUUGUGGCCUUGGGCCGUGGCUUUCGGAGCUAACGCGUUAAGUAGACCGCUUGGGGAGUACGGUCGCAAGAUUAAAACUCAAAUGAAUUGACGGGGGCCCGCACAAGCGGNGGAGCAUGUGGUUUAAUUCGAUGCAACGCGAAGAACCUUACCUACUCUUGACAUCUACAGAAGCCAGCGGAGACGCAGGUGUGCCUUCGGGAACUGUAAGACAGGUGCUGCAUGGCUGUCGUCAGCUCGUGUUGUGAAAUGUUGGGUUAAGUCCCGCAACGAGCGCAACCCUUAUCCUUGUUUGCCAGCACUUCGGGUGGGAACUCCAGGGAGACUGCCGGUGAUAAACCGGAGGAAGGUGGGGACGACGUCAAGUCAUUAUGGCCCUUACGAGUAGGGCUACACACGUGCUACAAUGGCGCAUACAGAGGGCGGCCAACUUGCGAAAGUGAGCGAAUCCCAAAAAGUGCGUCGUAGUCCGGAUUGGAGUCUGCAACUCGACUCCAUGAAGUCGGAAUCGCUAGUAAUCGUGGAUCAGAAUGCCACGGUGAAUACGUUCCUGGGCCUUGUACACACCGCCCGUCACACCAUGGGAGUGGGCUGCAAAAGAAGUGGGUAGUUUAACCUUCGGGAGGACGCUCACCACUUUGUGGUUCAUGACUGGGGGAAGUCCUUUUAAAGUACCCGAAGGCGACUCCCCACACUGCCGGCCGUAAU
rnacentral:rRNA from 1 species